rnacentral:rRNA from 1 species
UACAGAGGUCUCAAGCGUUGUUCGGAUUCAUUGGGCGUAAAGGGUGUGUAGGCGGCGCCGUAAGUCGGGUGUGAAAUUUCGGAGCUUAACUCCGAAACUGCAUUCGAUACUGCGGUGCUUGAGGACUGGAGAGGAGACUGGAAUUCAUGGUGUAGCAGUGAAAUGCGUAGAGAUCAUGAGGAAGACCAGUGGCGAAGGCGGGUCUCUGGACAGUUCCUGACACUGAGACACGAAGGCCAGGGGAGCAAACGGG